UACGUAGGGUGCAAGCGUUAAUCGGAAUUACUGGGCGUAAAGCGUGCGCAGGCGGCUUUGCAAGACAGAUGUGAAAUCCCCGGGCUCAACCUGGGAACUGCAUUUGUGACUGCAUGGCUAGAGUACGGUAGAGGGGGAUGGAAUUCCGCGUGUAGCAGUGAAAUGCGUAGAUAUGCGGAGGAACACCGAUGGCGAAGGCAAUCCCCUGGGCCGGUACUGACGCUCAUGCACGAAAGCGUGGGGAGCAAACAGG
rnacentral:rRNA from 1 species